CCUACGGGAGGCAGCAGUGAGGAAUAUUGGUCAAUGGACGAGAGUCUGAACCAGCCAAGUAGCGUGAAGGAUGACUGCCCUAUGGGUUGUAAACUUCUUUUAUAUGGGAAUAAAACGUUCCACGUGUGGGAUUUUGUAUGUACCAUAUGAAUAAGGAUCGGCUAACUCCGUGCCAGCAGCCGCGGUAAUACGGAGGAACCGAGCGUUAUCCGGAUUUAUUGGGUUUAAAGGGAGCGUAGGUGGAUUGUUAAGUCAGUUGUGAAAGUUUGCGGCGCAACCGUAAAAUUGCAGUUGAAACUGGCAGUCUUGAGUACAGUAGAGGUGGGCGGAAUUCGUGGUGUAGCGGUGAAAUGCUUAGAUAUCACGAAGAACUCCGAUUGCGAAGGCAGUUCACUGGACUGCAACUGACACUGAGGCUCGAAAGUGUGGGUAUCAAACAGGAUUAGAUACCCUGGUAGUC
rnacentral:rRNA from 1 species